AAGAUUUUAAGUUAAUAAAACUUAAAACCUUCAAAGUUUUAUAUAUAUAUAUUUACAUUAUAUAAAUCUUA
rnacentral:tRNA from 1 species